rnacentral:lncRNA from 12 species
CACUACUGAGACUUGGGGCAUAUCAGAUCCAUAGGCAGAAAGGACAUAUUCUGGAGCUGUGGAAGAGGGGGGUGACUAGGGAAGACUUUACGCAGGAGGUAGCAUUUGAGGGGGGUCUUGAACAAUGGGUAGAAUUUCUGUGUGUGUUUAAGGGGAGGUUGGUUGUGAGGGCAUUUGGAAUAGAGUGAGAUGAAGGAGGCCGUAUACUGAAGCAGCCAAGGGAGUGGGCAUAUGAUUCAGAGGCCUGCAUUUGAAUUGUGUAGAUGAUCAUGGGCAAAUUGCUUAAUUUCCCCAAGUCUCAUCUUUAAAAUGGGGAUAUGAUACCUACUGUAUUAGGGUUAGUAUGAGGACAAAAUGAGAUAUAGUAAAGGUUAAUAGACUAUGGCUAUUAUGAUCUUUCAUUGUUAUUAUUAUAGGCUAACACAACAGAGAAGUGAAUGGGAAGAAAGCUCAGGGCUUAUCUGGGGAGAGUCUGAAGCUUCCACUAUGCAUGCAAAUGUAGUACAAAGCAAUUUGGGAAGAGUCAGGGCCAACGGUUGGAUGAAAGGAGAGAGCCAGUGAGCUAGGAGGCUGUAGGAAAGUCAAAAGUGUGGCUUCCUAACACCGGGAGAAGGAACGACUGCAAGAGAACGUCAUGGAAGGCCUUUGGUCCAUUGCAUGCAGGCUCAGCAAAUCCAUAUAGAGCUCUAAGCCCAUAAUCUGAAACAUGUCAAAUGAAUUGUAGCCCCAAGUUGAAAACUGGCUCAUCACGCUGCUGUCGUCGUUUAUGCUCUGGGCCUCCUGCUCUCUGAUCCCGGGUCCCAAGGACACUAGGCACGUGGAAUGAAUGCAGAGCAAGAGCAGUGAGCGAAUGCAUCCGGCCUCUGUCCAGCUUCGAGUACAUUUACGUUACGCGGGAAUUUACCGUGGGCUCAGGGUCCUGUGGAUGGUGAGUUGUUGCUUAGUUUUACCUGCGUUCUGCAAACUCUAACCGACUCUAACCUUUUAUCAUAUAGGAUGCUAAGUUGGAUGCCCUUCCCUUCCUUUUGGGUUCAUAUCAGUUUAGGAAGGGAGCAUUCAUAAAUCCACUGAACAUAGUAUUUUCUGAAUCGAUUCUUGCCAGGCUCUAUCUAUUGGCAUUCAAAUUUAUUUAAUUAGUAGGCUUUAAUUUGUGCUAAACAGAAAAGCCAGGAUUCAGAGCAAGCAUCAGGUGACACUAAUGUUAGCCUAAUUGGUCGAUCUGUGUUAAUUAUCAGGUAACUUGGCUAAAUAAUAAAGCCAUUCACAGACAAGGACA